UGGGGAACCUGCCCCAUAGUCUGGGAUACCACUUGGAAACAGGUGCUAAUACCGGAUAAGAAAGCGGAUCGCAUGAUCAGCUUUUAAAAGGCGGCGUAAGCUGUCGCUAUGGGAUGGCCCCGCGGUGCAUUAGAUAGUUGGUAAGGUAAAGGCUUACCAAGGCGAUGAUGCAUAGCCGAGUUGAGAGACUGAUCGGCCACAUUGGGACUGAGACACGGCCCAAACUCCUACGGGAGGCAGCAGCG
rnacentral:rRNA from 1 species